GCUGGUGGAUUGGAGCCCGGAUGGAAAGGAGGGGCGGGUAAAAUGUUAUGGGGAGGGGUGUGUAGGGUAAGGAACUGCUGGUAGGGCAAAGGUAUGGAAUUUAGGAGGGCAUGUCCACUGAUGGGAUUUUGUCCAAGAAAGGCAGUGGGAUGGUGACCAAAUGGUCCUUGCCUGUUUUGGGGGAGAGUAAGCGCAGGGCAGAGUUUGUAUCUGAACUGAGGAUCGUGGUUUGUUUCGCUGAUGAGUGGGUGUAGGGGGGGCUGUGCUGAUUUUUAGGCUUCUCGGUCAUUUGGAAAUUGCUGUUAAGGGGAUGUUUGCAUUGGAAACCUGGUCCAGAGAGGGCUUGCCACGUUUUUCAGGGGCUUAUGUGGGUUGGGGAUGUGCGAAUUACAGGUAAAAGAGUGAAGUUCUCAUGCUCCCUUGCUCAGUCCAGCACAUGGAGUCCUUACUUUUACGUAGUAGUAGCCUCCCUUUUGAAAGUAGCAAUGUUAAACUGAUUGGAAAGGGUGGCCUGCUUCUUUGGGGUGGAAAUGAUUUCUGAAUUAUUGCAGGAAACUCAGUUUUGGAAACGAAACACUUCCUUGUUGGAAUAAAUGUGCCACGGCUUCCCCUUUUAUGUGAGCUACAGUAGAGACGGAGUUUCACCAUGUUGGCCAGGAUGGUCUCUAUCUCCUGACCUCGUGAUCCGCCUGCCUCGGCCUCCCAAAGUGCUGGGAUUACAGGCUGGAGUGCAAUGGCGCCAUCUUGGCUCACCGCAACUUCUGCCUCCCGGGUUCAAGCGAUUCUCUUGCCUCAGCCUCCUGAGUAGCUGGGAUGACAGCCGUGAGCCACUGCGCCCUGCCAUUGCAUCUUUCAAAAUGAAGUUUCCUACUGAGUCUGCUGCCUUUGAGUG